GACAGAGGGUGCAAACGUUGUUCGGAAUUACUGGGCGUAAAGCGCGUGUAGGCGGCUAAGCAAGUCGGGCGUGAAAUCCCACCGCUCAACGGUGGAAGUGCACCCGAAACUGCAUAGCUAGAGUCCUGGAGAGGAAGGUGGAAUGCUUGGUGUAGAGGUGAAAUUCGUAGAUAUCGAGAAGAACACCGGUGGCGAAGGCGGCCAUCUGGACGGUGACUGACGCUGAGACGCGAAAGCGUGGGGAGCAAACAGG
rnacentral:rRNA from 1 species